rnacentral:lncRNA from 1 species
GCCAGUUUACUUGGAUCAAGAAGCUUCCAACAGCCAAUAAGAGGAUAUGAAAAGCUGGUGAUCUGUCACCGAUGUCGUAUGGACUGAAUGACAGCUGCCGGUGCAAUCACUUCCUUGGAAGAAGUUGGAGACAUAUCCUUACCAACUCAACAAAACCUUUAGGAGUAAUGGUCUCUUGAAGUCUCGAGGAGUGUUCCCAGAAGCACGUUGGUACUGGAUUG